UUACGGCCCCGGUUCAUUCAUUCGGCCCGCAGCGCCCGGCCCCCGAGCCCCGGGGCGACCCCGCGAGGCCCCCGCCCCCCCCCCCCCCCGCCGCCGGCCCCGCGGGAGCCCGACGGGGUCCGCCCCAGGCUGGGCGCCAGGCUGCACCCGUGGGCGCCGCGCCCUCCUCCGCGGGGCGGUCGCGCGGGCGGCGCGGGUUCGAGGCCCGCCCGGGGCGGCGGCGUCUCCGGGGAGGCGGGCGCUCGGCGAGUCUUCCCCGAGGGCCGCGGGGCGCACCCACCCGGGGCCCGCAGUCCCCCCGCCUGUCGGCCGCACCCGCCGCGCCCCCCGCGGCCUCCCCGGGGCGCCCACGGGAGCCCCCAGCAAGCCCGCCCCUGGCCCGGGGGCCGCGCCCCGCUCUCCGCCCCGCGCCCCGCGCGCCCCGCGCGCCCCGCGCCCCCUCCCCGGCCGGUGACAUCCGCUCCCGCGGCCCCGCGGCGCUCCGGCAGGUCCCCGCCGCGCGCCCCCCGGCCCCGGGCCCCGCGCCCCGCGCCCCCCACCCCUGCGCCAGGCUGCGCCCCGCGCCCCGCGCCCCGCGCCCCGCGCCCCGCGCCCCGCGCCCCGACGCCCGACCGGGAGGCCGCCGUCCGGAGAGGCCGCCGUCCGGAGAACAAAGGCCGGGGCAGAGGCGCGGGGGGCAGCGGGCAGGGGCGCGGGGCCCGGCGGCGGGGCGCCCUCUUACCGGCUCGGGUGCUGUGCCCCCGGGGAGCGCGGUGCCGCGAGCGGCGCGGGUGCGGGCGUGGCCGGCGGGUGCCUGGCCGCGGGCGGAGGCUGAGUCCCGGCUCGACGGCCGAGCCCGCAGCGAGGAGCGAGUGGGAGCUGCCGCCGCCGCCGCCGCCGCCGCCGCUACUGCCGCCGCCGCCGCUCCUGCCGCCGCAGCCCCUGCGCCGCUCGCGCCCGCGCUCCCCCUCCCCUUCCUGCCCAGCGCCCUCCCCCGGCGCCCGCCCGCCGCCCGCCUCCCGCCUCCCGCCUCCCGCCGCCCGCGAACCCCGCCCCUCCGCGCCGCCCCGGGCCCCGCCCGCCUCCCCUGCGCCCGGCCCCGCCGCCCCGGCCCCCGGCCCCCGGCCCCCGGCCCCCGGCCCCCGGCUUGCGCGCGCCCCCCUCCGCGCCCCUCCCCCGCCGAGCCGAGCCCCGCGUCCGUGGGCAGCCCUCGCCCCCUCGCCCUCGCCCUCGCCCUCGCCCUCGCCCUCGCCCUCUCUCCGUCUCCCCUGGACUGGCCGCAGAGGCCCGCCCCGGGGUGCCCACGGCGCCCCCUGCACCUGCUGCCCGUCCCGCGCCCCGCACCCUCGCGCGCCGCGCCCGCCGGAGCCCCGGACACCUGGACACCCGGACACCUGGACGCCUGGACACCUGGACACCCGGACACCUGGACACCCGGACACCCGGAGGCCUGGACACCCGGACACCCGGACGCCUGGACACCCGGACACCUGGACACCCGGACACCCGGACACCUGGACGCCCGGACACCUGGACGCCUGGACACCCGGACACCUGGACACCCGGACACCCGGAGGCCUGGACACCCGGACACCCGGACGCCUGGACACCCGGACACCUGGACACCCGGACACCCGGACACCUGGACGCCCGGACACCUGGACGCCUGGACACCCGGACACCCGGACACCGGGACACCCGGACACCUGGACACCCGGAUACCUGGACACCGGGACAGCUGACAGCUGGACACCCAGACGCCUGGACGCCUGGACACCGGGACAGCUGGACACCCGGACACCGAGACACCCGGACACCUGGACGCCUGGACACCGGGACGCCUGGACAGCUGGACAGCUAGACACCUGGACGCCUGGACACCCGGACACCCGGAGGCCUGGACGCGCGGGAGGCCGAGACGACCCGGCACCGCGCGGCCGCAGGGGGCCGCCGACCCAGGGCGAGUCCGCGAGCGCGGCCGGGGCGAGGGCGGCGGCCCAGGUCCGCCCGCGUGGGGAGGGCGCCGCGCCGCGCCCCGCGAGGAUGCUGUGGGCGGAGGGCAGGCGGCGGCCGAGCAGAGGCAGCGGCGGGUCCUGCGCGGUGGCGAGCGGCGGGGUCGGGGGGUCGGGGGGUCCGGGGGGCGGGGGGCGGGGACGGGGACGGGGACGGGGACGGGGACGUCCACCCACCUGGCUCACCUGCCGGCGGGGAGCGGAUGCGGGAGACGGCGCGGCGACGCUCACCCCGGCUGCUCGUCCUCAGACAAAAGCCCGCGUCACCUGCCCGCGGCCGCCGGGACCUCGGGGCCCCUCUUUGCGGCCCGCUGGCGCCCUCUGGCUGCGCCCGGUCGGCCUGGGCGUACCCGCGGCCCCGGGAAGCCCUCCUCACCUGGCGGGGCGCCCUCCUCACCUGGGCGGGGCGGCGCGUCCUCCGCCCUCGCAGGCCCGGGACGCGGACGAAGGCCUCCGUCCUCCGUCCUUAGGGGAGGAUGCCACAGGCAGGUGCGUCCGCAGGCAACUGGGGGAGACACUUUUUAACGGGAAAGGUGAUGGCCUUCUUACCGACCAGUUGCCUUGACAUCUGCUGACCCGGCUGGAAUCGGACAAGGACAAGCAGCGUCCCAGUGGCCGUGCAGACAAGCUGGAUCUUUAGACACGAACGGUUUCAAGUCCUAAGUGCCUCUGCUUCCGGCUUUGUGAGUUUGACCACAGAUCUUCAUCUCACUUAGUCUCAGUCUUUUCAUCUGGAAAAUGGAAAUGUUUACAACUUCACUGGGUGGUUUGGAGGAUUAUACAAGAAAAUGUAUCUAAAUCCCUCAGCCAGUUCAUAAGACACACUCAGAAAAAUGUGUCCUGAAGAAGCUGAUGUUAGGGGCGCCCGGGG
rnacentral:lncRNA from 1 species